rnacentral:rRNA from 1 species
AGGAGGCAGCAGUGGGGAAUAUUGGUCAAUGGGCGCAAGCCUGAACCAGCCAUGCCGCGUGCAGGAAGACGGUCCUAUGGAUUGUAAACUGCUUUUAUACAGGAAGAAACCUCCCUACGCGUAGGGACUUGACGGUACUGUAGGAAUAAGGAUCGGCUAACUCCGUGCCAGCAGCCGCGGUAAUACGGAGGAUCCAAGCGUUAUCCGGAAUCAUUGGGUUUAAAGGGUCCGUAGGCGGUCUUAUAAGUCAGUGGUGAAAUCCCAUCGCUCAACGAUGGAACUGCCAUUGAUACUGUAAGACUUGAAUUUUUGUGAAGUAACUAGAAUAUGUAGUGUAGCGGUGGAAUGCUUAGAUAUUACAUGGAAUACCAAUUGCGAAGGCAGGUUACUAACAAACGAUUGACGCUGAUGGACGAAAGCGUGGGGAGCGAACAGGAUUAGAUACCCCUGUA